AAAUAAAUCAAGAAAGUCCUAACAAAAUCUAAACAGAAGGCCUCCUCCUUUCCUGAAGCUGGAUUGAAGAGAAAAAUUCAAAAUAAAAGAGGAAUUUUUUGGAAAGGGGCCUGCUGGACUUCCAGGGAAGAAUUGGUAAAUUGAAGAUGGCUCUACUAUGAUGAGCUCGUGAGAAUGGUAGAAUGAAGAGCCAGUAAUUCCUCUUGGGACAAGGAGAGAAUUUGAGAUUUCCCACAAAUGCUGCAGACAACGGCAGGCUCUGAUAGGUUUCGAGAUCUCAGAGGUGAGAGAAUAGCCAUUGUUUUGCUGAAACCAUAGUCAAUGACUUCAAAAGGACACUAAGUUCACAUACUUUUCUAAUAACUUUUGGAAAUUGAUUUUUAACUGCCUUUCAGCUAUUAGGAACCGUUAAAUUGGUAGGUUUUACUGCACUAGAUAAAGCUC